GUACUUUCUUUAUAUAUAUCUAUACCACAUAGAUUACAUAUACGAAGGUAAGUUUCUUUGCUCCUCAUAAAUCUUUGUCUUCAUUUAUUUAUUCUAAGUAUUUUAUAUAGAUUCGGGUCAUUCUUUUCAUUUGUCUUGAGAUCCUUGAUUGACCUCUGAUAUAUGCUUUAGGAAAAUUGGGUCUUCAUUUAUUUGUUCUAAGAACUUUUAUUUGAUAUUGAUUUAGGUUGUUCUUUUCAUUAGUCGUGAGACCUUUGAUUUUAAACUCUGAUCUAUGCUUAGGAAAUUUGGGAAUUCAUUUAUUUGUUCUGAGCAACUUCUAUUGGAUAUAAUAAUUACUAGGAGAAAUCUACAAUGUGUGUGCACCCCUAAAAAGGGUAUAUCUAAGAAGAUUUACAAUUUUUUGUUGUGAAAAUUAUUAAUAUUUGUGGUGAUUUAUGCCAAUCUGUGGUCAAAGUUAUAACUAACGAAUUUAUGAUGUGCACUCUAAAGUAAAGAACUUGCUUGUUUUUGGUAAUGUCAUGACAUUGACAGUAGUCUACAUCCAUGAUUGGUGGUUGGUGGCAAUGGUGUUGCCGAAUCACAGUGAGCUAUCCCCACGCCACGCCUUUUAGGGUUUCUGGAUCACCAUUUCACCACCACUCUCCAGAACAAUCAAAGUUCAUCAUUAUCGGUAUUUUCAUUGUCAUUAUCAUACAAAUACAAUACAGCUUGCGAUCUGGAGGCGAAUUUGAGCACAGAGUGUGCUGAAUUAGACGCUUAUCUCCAACACCUACACCAAAACCUAGCCAAGCUCAUAAUCUCAUGGAUUUCUCGAUCAAUUGCAGCAAAAUCCACUCUCCACAAGCUCAAUCUAACAACAAUGUCCCCAUAUCAAUGGGAUUCAAAAGAUGCUGAGCAAGGAUUUGCCUCAGCUUGCAAUGGAAUUGAGCCGAGUUGAAAAUAUUCGCAGUUAUGCUGUGGAGUUGACCAAACUUAUCAUGGAACUAAGCUCAAAGAUCAGAAGUUUUGUAGGUGAAUAAUUUGUAUAUUUGAAAGAGUUGGAUAUUAUGACUUGUACAUGGUUAAAUUUUGUAUCUAGCUUGUUUAUAAGCUAUCUUUUUUGGACAUAAAGAUUGCAUUUUGAUAUUUUAAGAUGAUGCAAUUAUUAAAUUUGGUACUUCAAUGAAAUUUG